AUUGAACGCUGGCGGCAGGCCUAACACAUGCAAGUCGAACGAGUGGCGGAAGGGUGAGUAAUGUCUGGGAAACUGCCUGAUGGAGGGGGAUAACUACUGGAAAAGGUAGCUAAUACCGCAUACCAUCGGAUGUGCCCAGAUGGGAUUAGCUAGUAGGUGGGGGAAAGGCUUACCUAGGCGACGAUCCCUAGCUGGUCUGCGAGGAUGACCGGCCAAGCUGGAACAGAGGCACGGUCCAGACUCCUACGGGAGGCAGCCGUGGGGAAUAUUGCACAAGUGGCGCAAGCCUGAUGCAGCCAUGCCGCGUGUAUGAAGAAGGCCGUCGGGUUGUAAAGUACUUUCAGCGGGGAGGCGUUACCCGCAGAAGAAGCACCGGCUAACUCCGUGCCAGCAGCCGCGGUAAUAC
rnacentral:rRNA from 1 species